ACUCCUACGGGAGGCAGCAGUGGGAAUAUUGCACAAUGGGCGCAAGCCUGAUGCAGCCAUGCCGCGUGUGUGAAGAAGGCCUUCGGGUUGUAAAGCACUUUCAGUCGUGAGGAAGGUAGUGUAGUUAAUAGCUGCAUUAUUUGACGUUAGCGACAGAAGAAGCACCGGCUAACUCCGUGCCAGCAGCCGCGGUAAUACGGAGGGUGCGAGCGUUAUCCGGAUUUAUUGGGUUUAAAGGGUCCGUAGGCGGGUUAAUAAGUCAGUGGUGAAAUCCCAUCGCUUAACGAUGGACUGCCCAUUGAUACUGUUAGUCUUGAAUGAGGGUGCAGUGGUUGGAAUGUGUAGUGUAGCGGUGAAAUGCAUAGAUAUUACACAGAACACCGAUUGCGAAGGCAGAUCACUAACCCUAAAUUGACGCUGAGGGACGAAAGCGUGGGGAGCGAACAGGAUUAGAUACCCU
rnacentral:rRNA from 1 species